rnacentral:tRNA from 1 species
GGCGCUGUAGUGUAGCGGUUAUCACUUGAGAUUCUGAGGAGAGUUCUCAUAACCCAGGUUCGAUUCCUGGCAGUGCCU